rnacentral:rRNA from 1 species
GGGUUCCGAAGGUUUUUCCGGGAAUUAUUUGGGGGGAAAAAAAAAUUUCGUAGGGCGGGCGUGUUCGGGUUUUUGCUGUGAAAAGACCCGGGGGCUUAAACCCCCGGUUUCCUGCCAGUGGGAUACCGGGCAUGCCUAGAGGUUAGUUAGGGGGAGACUGGAAAUUCCCUGGUGUAAGCGGUGAAAAUGCGCCAGAUAUCCAGGAGGGAACACCCGGUGGCGAAAGGCGGGUUUUCUGGGCCUUUACCUGACGCUGAGGAGCGAAAGCAUGGGGAGCGAACAGGAUUAGAUACCCUGGUAGUCCAUGCCGUAAACGUUGGGCGCUAGGUGUGGGGACUUUCCACGGUUUCCGCGCCGUAGCUAACGCAUUAAGCGCCCCGCCUGGGGAGUACGGCCGCAAGGCUAAAACUCAAAGGAAUUGACGGGGGCCCGCACAAGCGGCGGAGCAUGUUGCUUAAUUCGACGCAACGCGAAGAACCUUACCAAGGUUUGACAUCACCCGUGGACCUGUAGAGAUACAGGGUCAUUUGGUUGGCGGGUGACAGGUGGUGCAUGGCUGUCGUCAGCUCGUGUCGUGAGAUGUUGGGUUAAGUCCCGCAACGAGCGCAACCCUUGUUCCAUGUUGCCAGCACGUAGUGGUGGGGACUCAUGGGAGACUGCCGGGGUCAACUCGGAGGAAGGUGGGGACGACGUCAAGUCAUCAUGCCCCUUAUGUCUUGGGCUGCAAACAUGCUACAAUGGCCGGUACAAUGGGCGUGCGAUACCGUGAGGUGGAGCGAAUCCCUAAAAGCCGGUCUCAGUUCGGAUUGGGGUCUGCAACUCGACCCCAUGAAGGUGGAGUCGCUAGUAAUCGCGGAUCAGCAACGCCGCGGUGAAUACGUUCCCGGGCCUUGUACACACCGCCCGUCACGUCAUGAAAGUCGGCAACACCCGAAACUUGUGUGCCUAACCCUUCGUUGAGGGAGU